CUACUUACCUGGCAGGGGAAAUACCAUGACCAUGAAGGUGGUUUUCCCAGGGUGAGGCUCGUGCAUUGCACUCAGGAUGUGUUGACCCCUGCGAUUUCCCCAAACGUGGGAAACUCGAUUGCAAAGUUUGUGAUAGUGGGGGACUGCGUUUGCGCUCUCCCCUG